CUCCAGAACAGUGGUCCUGCAGAGAUGCCAGGCAGUGCUGCUUCCCACCAGACAGCCCAGUGACGUUGUCAUAACUUAGACAGGCCUCCAAAGCUGCCUGAGUUACACAAGAGCCUCAGAGAAACCUAGGAUUAGGAAGUUUACUCAUGGCAUUUGUCCGAAUUUGUGAGGACUCCUAAAAAUGGCUUUCAGACAACAGGUCUAGGUGGGACAGGUGGUCGUUGAUGAGAUCUUGAAGGAGCUGCAGGAAACUGAUUUUGUAUUGGCUGCCUAAAGAGUGAAAAAUACUUUUAGUGCAUAUUUGAUACCACAUUUCAGGAGCUGACAAAGAUCAUUAGUAUCAGGAAAUGUACCUAGCCAUGUUAUUUCUCAAGUGCCUGUUACAAAAGUGUUGAAUCUCCCGUUUUAAAAUA